UUGUGGGCUCAGAUCAAGUGUAGCGUCUAUGCUUACCCGGCAAGGGAAACACUGUGACCACUGAGGCGGUCUUCCUAGUUGCACCUGGGGAAUAACGCUCCGCUGGC